rnacentral:rRNA from 1 species
UUGCACCUUUCAAGCGAGUGGCGAACGGGUGAGUAACACGUGGAUAACCUGCCUCAAGGCUGGGGAUAACAUUUGGAAACAGAUGCUAAUACCGAAUAAAACUUAGUAUCGCAUGAUACAAAGUUGAAAGGCGCUACGGCGUCACCUAGAGAUGGGUCCGCGGUGCAUUAGUUAGUUGGUGGGGUAAAGGCCUACCAAGACAAUGAUGCAUAGCCGAGUUGAGAGACUGAUCGGCCACAUUGGGACUGAGACACGGCCCAAACUCCUACGGGAGGCUGCAGUAGGGAAUCUUCCACAAUGGGCGAAAGCCUGAUGGAGCAACGCCGCGUGUGUGAUGAAGGCUUUAGGGUCGUAAAGCACUGUUGUAUGGGAAGAAAUGCUAGAAUAGGGAAUGAUUCUAGUUCGACGGUACCAUACCAGAAAGGGACGGCUAAAUACGUGCCAGCAGCCGCGGUAAUACGUAUGUCCCGAGCGUUAUCCGGAUUUAUUGGGCGUAAAGCGAGCGCAGACGGUUGAUUAAGUCUGAUGUGAAAGCCCGGAGCUCAACUCCGGAAUGGCAUUGGAAACUGGUUAACUUGAGUGUUGUAGAGGUAAGUGGAACUCAGGGGACA